GGCGGGGAAAGCGCCAGAGGGGAGUCACCCAUCCUUGAGCUGAGGAGGAAGCGCCGCUCGCGCGCGCGCCCACAGGGCCACAUUGGCGCGCGCGUGCACGACAGACGGGGAAGGGGUGUGGAGGCAAGCAUUGUGUGGUGGGAGAAACACUGUAUGGAAGAAACCAUGUGUGGAAGAAACACGGUGUGGAGGGAAACAUGGUGCGGAAGAAACAUUGAAUGGAGAGAAACACUGAGUGGGGAAGAAACAUUGUGUCAUGAGAGAAACGUGUGGAAAAGAAACUUUGUGUCUGGAAGUAACACUGCAAUGCCUGCUUGUUUCAAGACACUAGCUGAAAGUUUGACACUGGCUCUAUACUCUGAGUCUUGAUUACAAAUAUUACUAACCACUGUAUGAGGCCUCAGUAUGUGUUAAAUUCUGAAGCAAGUAACAUUAGACUGAUAUCACAGGGAUAGGCAAAGGGAUAGCAUUUAUUAAACAUCUUAUUCCCUUCCUCGUCUUUGGAAAUAAACAAGACAAACUCCCAACUUUUAGCACGUGAGUAUCUACUGCACACCACGCCAGGAUGAAGAACUCAACGAAACCUUCUGUCAACAGUUGACCAAACAGACACAAAGAAGAGAUGUAAUAACCAUAGGCAAUUUCAUCUAUCCCAAUAUUUGGUGGAAAACAAACUCACCCACGAGUACAAAGUCCAACAAAUUCCUUGCUUGCCUGGCAGACAAUUUUAUGGUCUAGAAGGUAGAAGAGGCAACAAGGGGAUCAGCUACUCUCGAUCCCAUCCUAACAAAUGUAAGGGACCUGAUCAACGCAGUCGAAGUGGUCAGAUUCUUGUGUUCCUGUAGUCUGUGCUACAAAGGAAGGCCAAAACUAAGACAAGUCAAACCCGCAUUCUGGACUUUAGGAGAGCUGACUUCUGAAAAAUGAAGAAAAUACUAAGUUGCAUUCCAUGGAUGCCGAUACUAAAAGACAAGGGAGUUAUGAUGGAUGGGAGUUUUUUAAGAGUGUAAUACUCAAGGUGCAAUUGCAAACAGUGUCAAUAAAGAGAAAAAAUAAGACAAGUGCAAAAAAGCCAGAAUGGAUGCCCAAAGAACUUCUAACUAGGCUAAGACUCAAAAGUGGAAAAGGGGAUAAAUCACCAAAGAAGAAUUCAAACAAAUAACCAACUCCUGUAGAGAAAAGGUUUGCAAGGCUAAAGCACAAAAUGAGAUCAGGCUUUCCAGGGACAUUAAAAACAAUAAAGGGGCUACUUUGCUUACAUUGGUAGAAAAAAGAACAAGGAGGCAACAGGGCCUCUGCAAGGAGAAGAUGGGGUGAUGCUGACAGGGGAUAGGAAAAAGGCAGAACUACUUAAUGCCUUCUUUGCCUCAGUCUUCUCACAAAAAGAAAGCUAUCCCCAACCUCAGCAACAUGGAGUGGACAAAGGAUUAGGAAAAAUCCAAUCCCAAAUAGAGAAACAGGUCGUCCAGGAAUACCUGGCCACUCUAAACAAAUUCAAGUCCCCAGGGCCAGAUCAACUACAUCCAAAAGUAUUGAAGGAACUAGCAGAAGUCAUUUCGGAACCACUGGCAAUAAUCUUUGAGAGUUCUUGAAGAACAGGACAAGUGCCAGCAGAUUGGAGGAGGGCAAAUGUGGUCCCUAUCUUCAAGAAGGUAAAAAAGGGCAACCCAAACAAUUACUGUCGGGUCAGCCUCAUGUCAAUACCAGACAAGAUUAUGGAAAAGAUAAUUAAGGAAGUGGUCUGCAAACACUUAGAAAGGAAUGCGGUCAUCACUAAUAGUCAACAUGGAUUUAUCAAAAACAAGUCAUGCCAAACUAAUCUGAUCUCUUUCUUUGAUAGAGUUACAAGCUGGGUAGAUGCAGGGAAUAUUGUGGAUGUAGCAUAUCUGGGUUUCAGUAAGACCUUCGACCAGGCCCCCCGUGACCUUCUGGCAAACAAGCUAAUCAAAUGUGGGCUAGGCAAAAUUAUGGUUAGGCGGAUCUGUAACUGGUUAAGUUGACGAACCCAGAGGGUGCUCAUCAAUGCUUCCUCUGCAUCCUGGAAAGAAGUGACGAGUGGAGUGCCAUAAGCAGGGUUCUGUCCUGGGCCCAGUUCUGUUCAACAUCUUUAUAAUGACUUAGAUGAAGGGUUAGAAGGUAUGAUCAUCAAAUUUUUAGAUGACGCCAAAUUGAGAAGGAUAGCCAAUACUCCAGAAGACAGGAGCAGAAGUCAAAACGAUCUAAACAGAUUGUAGAGAUGGGCCAAAACUAACCAAAUGAAGUUCAGCAGAGACAAAUGCAAGAGACGCCACUUAGGCAGAAAAAAUGAAAUGCAAAGAUACAGAAUGGAGGAUGCCUGGCUCAACAGCAGUACAUGUGAAAAAGAUCUUGGAGUCCUCGUGGACAACAAGUUAAAUAUGUGCUAACAAUGUGAUGUGGUGGCUAAAAAAGCCAAUGGGAUUUUGGCCUGCAUAAAUAGUAGUGUCUAGAUCCACCGGAGCCUCCGGUGGCUCAGUGUGUUAAAGCGCUGAGUGGCUGAACUUGCAGACUGGAAGGUCCCAGGUUCAAAUCUGGAGAGCAGAGUGAGCGCCCACUGUUAAGCUCCAGCUUCUGCCAACCUAGCAGUUCGAAAACAUGCAAAUGUGAGUAGAUCAAUAGGUACCGCCCUGGCGGGAAGGUAACGGCGCUCCAUGCAGUCAUGCCAGCCACAUGACAUUGGAGGUGUCUACGGACAACGCCGGCUCUUCAGCUUAGAAAUGGAGAUGAGCACCAACCCCCAGAGUCGGACACGACUGGGCUUAACGUCAGGGAAAACCUUUACCUUUACCUUUAGAUCCAGUGAGGUCAUGCUACCCCUCUAUUCUUUCUUGGUCAGACCACACCUGGAAUCACACUGUGUUCAAUUCUGGGCACUGCAAUCUAAGGAAGAUGUUGACAAGCUGGAAUGUGUCCAGAGAAGGGCGACUAAAAUGAUCAAAGAACUGGAAAACAAACCCUAUAACAAAAUUUUGUUCCAUAAACAACUAAUGCACAAUACUCUGAAGGUAAUUUUAUACAAUAAUUUCAAUUUUGUUUUGUACUAAACAAAGUUUGUGUAUAUUGAAAUAUCAGAAAGCAAAAUUGUUACUAUCUCAGCCACUUAUCUGAUCAAUUUGGGAUUUUGGAAUAUUUCAAAUUUCAGAAUUCCAGAUAAGGGCUGUAUGAAGAAGUUAGUAAAAGUCUGGAAUAUUCGGUUCA